UACGUAGGUGGCAAGCGUUGUCCGGAUUUAUUGGGUUUAAAGGGUGCGUAGGCGGCUUUGUAAGUCAGUAGUGAAAUACCCCAGCUCGACUGGGGGGGUGCUAUUGAUACUGCAUGGCUUGAGUACAGAUGAGGUAGGCGGAAUUGACGGUGUAGCGGUGAAAUGCAUAGAUAUGACAUAGAACACCAAUUGCGAAGGCAGCUUACUACACAGUUAUUGACACUGAGGCACGAAAGCGUGGGGAUCAAACAGG
rnacentral:rRNA from 1 species